UAACGCGUGGGGAACCUGCCCUAUACAGGGGGAUAACAGCUGGAAACGGUUGCUAAUACCGCAUAAGCGCACAGAAUCGCAUGAUUCAGUGUGAAAAGCCCUGGCAGUAUAGGAUGGUCCCGCGUCUGAUUAGCUGGUCGGUGAGGUAACGGCUCACCAAGGCGACGAUCAGUAGCCGGCUUGAGAGAGUGAACGGCCACAUUGGGACUGAGACACGGCCCAA
rnacentral:rRNA from 1 species